rnacentral:rRNA from 1 species
UGCAGUGGGACGAAGGUUUUUGUCGGAAGGUUUCGGCUGGAAGAUGGAGAUACUGAGUCGCGGACGGGUGAGUAAUGCGUGAGAACCUGUCUCAAAGAGGGGGACAGCCCCGGGAAACCGGGAUUAAUACCCCAUAUGCCUAAGGGUGAAACGGAGCAAUCCGCUUUGAGAGGGGCUCGCGUCCUAUCAGCUAGUUGGUGAGGUAAUGGCUCACCAAGGCGAAGACGGGUAGCCGGACUGAGAGGUUGGACGGCCACAUUGGAACUGAGAUACGGUCCAGACUCCUACGGGAGGCAGCAGUGGGGAAUAUUGGGCAAUGGGCGCAAGCCUGACCCAGCGACGCCGCGUGAGGGAAGACGGUCUUCGGAUUGUGAACCUCUGUUGCAGGGGAAGAAUAAAGUGACGGUACCCUGCGAGGAAGCCCCGGCAAACUACGUGCCAGCAGCCGCGGUAACACGUAGGGGGCGAGCGUUGUCCGGAAUUACUGGGCGUAAAGGGUGCGUAGGCUGCGAGACAAGUCGGGUGUAAAAGGCACGGGCUCAACCUGUGUGUGCACUCGAAACUGUUUUGCUGGAGGGGUAGAGAGGCAAGCGGAAUUCCCGGUGUAGCGGUGAAAUGCGUAGAUAUCGGGAAGAACACCAGUGGCGAAGGCGGCUUGCUAGCUACACCCUGACGCUGAGGCACGAAAGCCAGGGGAGCGAACCGGAUUAGAUACCCGGGUAGUCCUGGCAGUAAACGAUGAGUGCUAGGUGUGGGUGGGUCAAACCAUCUGUGCCGCAGCUAACGCAUUAAGCACUCCGCCUGGGGAGUACGGUCGCAAGAUUGAAACUCAAAGGAAUUGACGGGGGCCCGCACAAGCGGUGGAGCACGUGGUUUAAUUCGGUGCAAACCGAAGAACCUUACCUGGGCUUGACAUAUAGGUGGUAUUGAUCUGAA